AAUGGCAUCGGAUCGGUUAAGCUUAAUCAUUUUCUUAGGUGUUACAGCUCUGAUACCGGAAAUGGUGAGAGCUGGGAGGAAUCUUACGGUGCUUCGUGAUUCCAGCUACCCACCGGAAUACCUAGUUAAUUUGGUAAAAAAUAGCUUGGAUAAAUGUCACUCCGAAACAGAUAUCGAGGAAUCGGUAAUCUCUCGGUUCCGGGAUGAUGAAGACGACGAAGGAACGCCAAAGCUGGGAUGCUAUCUGUUCUGUAUAUUUAAUUCGUCGGAAUUUUGGAUGAACGAUAGGGACGAACUUGACAUCAUGAAGAUACUGGACAUCAUACCGAAAAGUUUUGAGACGCAUGCCCUGAAGAUGGGAUUACGAUGCCUUAAGGUGAAAGGAAACGACAAAUGUGAGCGCUCGCUAUGGUAUCACAACUGUUGGAAAAAAACGGAUCCGGAGCAUUACUUCCUUAUGUAGCUUUUUGGUUAAACCGGAAAAAGUGAAAGAACAAGCUAUACAAAACAGAGGUAAAACGCCUACAGGUAGGCAACCAAAAUACAACUUCUGGACUGAUAUCGCGGCAAACAUGGCGGCAGUUAAUUUUUUCGAGUCGAAUAUUGGUGAACUAUUUAUACUCGAACAAGGCCGAAAUUUGUUAUUAUUAGGCAUUGAUAUCGUAAUUUGGGAGUCAGCGAAUGUUAAGAAUGGCAUUUUGAUUUAAUAUUCUGAUUUUCUCAAAAGUUAACAGCAUUCAAAAUUAAGCGUAAAACACGUGGUCUUUUGAGCAUUCUGCCCCAACUUAGAUAUGAUUGAUAUUAGUUAAAAUGUGUGGGAAGAUAGUAAAACACAACUAAAUAUUUAGGGGAAAACUGUACAAGACGCAUCAUUUAAGCAUAAUCGCUAUUUACAGCGAUACCAAUCAUCUAAGAACCAAAUUAAAAGCUUACGACGAUUCAGAGAUCAGAUUUACGUAUUAUCAAAAAGAAAAAAUUUGAUAAAAACACGAUUUUGAUUAUCUUUUUGUAAAAAACUUAAAUAGCCAGAAAACGAGCCGCAGGGUAGAACGCCAAAACUAAUGGACAUAACGCAUCAUACCGAAAGGGUGGUACGAAAUGAAACAAAGAUUAUAAAGAAUGUAAUGAUUUUAACAUAAAAUGUUCAAUUACAUGUUCAUCAUAUUUUAUAAACUAACCAUACUUUGGCAGAAAAUCAUUUACUUAUGCUAAACUUAUCGUAAAUUUCGGUUUUCAAAAUACACUUUUUUAUAGCCUUAUAGGUAAAACGCCUUCAGGUAGGCAAUGAAAAUCACUUUCUUGACUGAUAUCGCGGCAAACAUGGCGGCAGAUAAUUUUUUCGAGUCGAAUAUUGGUGCACCUUUUUAACUAGAACAAGGAUGAAGUUUAUUAUAAUUAUGCAUUGAUAUCGUAA